GAUGAACGCUGGCGGCGUGCCUAAUACAUGCAAGUCGAGCGAACAGACGAGGAGCUUGCUCCUUUGACGUUAGCGGCGGACGGGUGAGUAACACGUGGGUAACCUACCUAUAAGUCUGGGAUAACUUCGGGAAACCGGAUCUAAUACCGGAUAAUAUUUCGAACCGCAUGGUUCUAUAGUUAAAGAUGGCUUUGCUAUCACUUAUAGAUUGUCCUGCGCCGUAUUAGCUAGUUGGUAAGGUAACGGCUUACCAAGGCAACGAUACGUAGCCGACCUGAGAGGGGGAUCGGCCAAACUGGAACUGAGACACGGACCAGACUCCUACGGGAGGCAGCAGUAGGGAAUAGUGGGCAAUGGGCGAAAGCAUGACGGAGCAACGCCGAGUGAGUGAUGAAGGUCUUAGGAUCGUAAAACACUGUUAUUAGGGAAGAAAAAAAGGGGAAGAAAAAGUGGACGUAAUGACGGUAACUAAAGAGAAAGCAACGGCUAACUACGUG
rnacentral:rRNA from 1 species